rnacentral:tRNA from 7 species
UGGGGAGUAGCCAAGCGGUAAGGCAACGGACUCUGAAUCCGUCAUCGUAGGUUCGAUCCCUACCUCCCCAGCCA